rnacentral:rRNA from 1 species
AGAGUUUGAUCAUGGCUCAGAUUGAACGCUGGCGGCAGGCCUAACACAUGCAAGUCGAGCGGUAGCACAGGAGAGCUUGCUCUCUGGGUGACGAGCGGCGGACGGGUGAGUAAUGUCUGGGAAACUGCCUGAUGGAGGGGGAUAACUACUGGAAACGGUAGCUAAUACCGCAUAACGUCUUCGGACCAAAGUGGGGGACCUUCGGGCCUCACGCCAUCAGAUGUGCCCAGAUGGGAUUAGCUAGUAGGUGGGGUAAUGGCUCACCUAGGCGACGAUCCCUAGCUGGUCUGAGAGGAUGACCAGCCACACUGGAACUGAGACACGGUCCAGACUCCUACGGGAGGCAGCAGUGGGGAAUAUUGCACAAUGGGCGCAAGCCUGAUGCAGCCAUGCCGCGUGUGUGAAGAAGGCCUUCGGGUUGUAAAGCACUUUCAGCGAGGAGGAAGGGUAGUGUGUUAAUAGCACAUUGCAUUGACGUUACUCGCAGAAGAAGCACCGGCUAACUCCGUGCCAGCAGCCGCGGUAAUACGGAGGGUGCAAGCGUUAAUCGGAAUUACUGGGCGUAAAGCGCACGCAGGCGGUUUGUUAAGUCAGAUGUGAAAUCCCCGCGCUUAACGUGGGAACUGCAUUUGAAACUGGCAAGCUAGAGUCUUGUAGAGGGGGGUAGAAUUCCAGGUGUAGCGGUGAAAUGCGUAGAGAUCUGGAGGAAUACCGGUGGCGAAGGCGGCCCCCUGGACAAAGACUGACGCUCAGGUGCGAAAGCGUGGGGAGCAAACAGGAUUAGAUACCCCGGUAGU